rnacentral:lncRNA from 1 species
CCUUUAAUCACAGAUGGAGUAACCAUUAAGAAUUGCCUCCCCUGUUUUAUUCUACAGAAGAACAAGCCUCUGGUGAAUUUCAGUUAAUCAGCCCCACAAGAGAAGAGAACAUCCUGAGAGUUUAACUAAGGUUGUUGAAGUCCAUAGAGCUCCUGAAACUGAAAAGAAAAUUCCCCGAGGCGUGAUUCAACAUGUCCAUCGCAACCUUGUAGUGAUCCUUUCAUUCUUCCAGUGGGCUCAUGAAACCAGAGAGUUAAAC